GACGAACGCUGGCGGCGUGCUUAACACAUGCAAGUCGAACGGUGAAAGGGAGCUUGCUCCCCGGAUCAGUGGCGAACGGGUGAGUAACACGUGGGCAACCUGCCCCAGACUUCGGGAUAACGCUUCGAAAGAGGUGCUAAUACCGGAUACGAACUCCUUGGGCAUCCUUGGAGUUGGAAAGUUUUUCGGUCUGGGAUGGGCCCGCGGCCUAUCAGCUUGGUGGUGAGGUAACGGCUCACCAAGGGGACGACGGGUAGCCGGCCUGCGAGGGCGACCGGCCACACUGGGACUGAGACACGGCCCAGACUCCUACGGGAGGCAGCAGUGGGGAAUAUUGCGCAAUGGGCGAAAGCCUGACGCAGCAACGCCGCGUGAGGGAUGACGGCCUUCGGGUUGUAAACCUCUUUCAGCAGGGAAGAAGCGAAAGUGACGGUACCUGCAGAAGAAGCACCGGCUAACUACGUGCCAGCCGCCGCGGUAA
rnacentral:rRNA from 1 species